GUUAAUCGGGGCAGGGUGAGUCGACCCCUAAGGCGAGGCCGAAAGGCGUAGUCGAUGGGAAACAGGUUAAUAUUCCUGUACUCGGUGUUACUGCGAAGGGGGGACGGAGAAGGCUAUGUUGGCCGGGCGACGGUUGUCCCGGUUUAAGCAUGUAGGCGGAUGUUCCAGGUAAAUCCGGAACGUUAUCAACGCUGAGGUGUGAUGACGAGGCACUACGGUGCUGAAGUGACAAAUGCCCUGCUUCCAGGAAAAGCCUCUAAGCAUCAGGUAACAUCAAAUCGUACCCCAAACCGACACAGGUGGUCAGGUAGAGAAUACCAAGGCGCUUGAGAGAACUCGGGUGAAGGAACUAGGCAAAAUGGUGCCGUAACUUCGGGAGAAGGCACGCUGAUGGUAAGUGAAGUGACUUGCUCAUGGAGCUGAAAUCAGUCGAAGAUACCAGCUGGCUGCAACUGUUUAUUAAAAACACAGCACUGUGCAAACACGAAAGUGGACGUAUACGGUGUGACGCCUGCCCGGUGCCGGAAGGUUAAUUGAUGGGGUUAUCCUCACGGAGAAGCUCUUGAUCGAAGCCCCGGUAAACGGCGGCCGUAACUAUAACGGUCCUAAGGUAGCGAAAUUCCUUGUCGGGUAAGUUCCGACCUGCACGAAUGGCGUAAUGAUGGCCAGGCUGUCUCCACCCGAGACUCAGUGAAAUUGAACUCGCUGUGAAGAUGCAGUGUACCCGCGGCAAGACGGAAAGACCCCGUGAACCUUUACUAUAGCUUGACACUGAACACUGGUCCUUGAUGUGUAGGAUAGGUGGGAGGCUUUGAAGUGUGGACGCCAGUCUGCAUGGAGCCAUCCUUGAAAUACCACCCUUUAAUGGCUGGUGUUCUAACGUGGGCCCGUAAUCCGGGUUGCGGACAGUGUCUGGUGGGUAGUUUGACUGGGGCGGUCUCCUCCUAAAGAGUAACGGAGGAGCACGAAGGUCAGCUAAUCCUGGUCGGACAUCAGGAGGUUAGUGCAAUGGCAUAAGCUGGCUUGACUGCGAGCGUGACGGCGCGAGCAGGUGCGAAAGCAGGUCAUAGUGAUCCGGUGGUUCUGAAUGGAAGGGCCAUCGCUCAACGGAUAAAAGGUACUCCGGGGAUAACAGGCUGAUACCGCCCAAGAGUUCAUAUCGACGGCGGUGUUUGGCACCUCGAUGUCGGCUCAUCACAUCCUGGGGCUGAAGUAGGUCCCAAGGGUAUGGCUGUUCGCCAUUUAAAGUGGUACGCGAGCUGGGUUUAGAACGUCGUGAGACAGUUCGGUCCCUAUCUGCCGUGGGCGCUGGAGAAUUGAGGGGGGCUGCUCCUAGUACGAGAGGACCGGAGUGGACGCAUCACUGGUGUUCGGGUUGUCAUGCCAAUGGCAUUGCCCGGUAGCUAAAUGCGGAAGAGAUAAGUGCUGAAAGCAUCUAAGCACGAAACUUGCCCCGAGAUGAGUUCUCCCUGA
rnacentral:rRNA from 1 species